rnacentral:rRNA from 1 species
GGGCUUGGGGGCUUGCUCCCGGGCUAGUGGCGAACGGGUGAGUAAUAUAUCGGAACAUAUCCGGAAGUGGGGGAUAACGUAGCGAAAGUUACGCUAAUACCGCAUAUGCCCUGAGGGGGAAAGGGGGGGAUCGCAAGACCUCUCGCUUUCGGAGUGGCCGAUACCGGAUUAGCUAGAUGGUGAGGUAAAGGCUCACCAUGGCGACGAUCCGUAGCGGGUCUGAGAGGACGACCCGCCACACUGGAACUGAGACACGGUCCAGACUCCUACGGGAGGCAGCAGUGGGGAAUUUUGGACAAUGGGCGCAAGCCUGAUCCAGCCAUACCGCGUGAGUGAAGAAGGCCUUCGGGUUGUAAAGCUCUUUCAGCCGGAAAGAAAUUGCUUCUAUUAAUACUAGGGGUAGAUGACGGUACCGGAAGAAGAAGCACCGGCUAACUACGUGCCAGCAGCCGCGGUAAUACGUAGGGUGCGAGCGUUAAUCGGAAUUACUGGGCGUAAAGCGUGCGCAGGCGGUUUGGUAAGACAGAUGUGAAAUCCCCGGGCUUAACCUGGGAACUGCAUUUGUGACUGCCAGACUAGAGUGUAGCAGAGGGGGGUAGAAUUCCACGUGUAGCAGUGAAAUGCGUAGAGAUGUGGAGGAAUACCGAUGGCGAGGGCAGCCCCCUGGGCUAACACUGACGCUCAUGCACGAAAGCGUGGGGAGCAAACAGGAUUAGAUACCCUGGUAGUCCACGCCCUAAACGAUGUCAACUAGGUGUUGGGGAAGGAGACUUCUUUAGUACCGCAGCUAACGCGUGAAGUUGACCGCCUGGGGAGUACGGUCGCAAGAUUAAAACUCAAAGGA